UAGGAUUAGAAUUAGGAUUAGGUUUUAUUUAGAACAGUAUUAGGAUUAUAUUGUACCACUUUUUGGGUUUUAUUUCAUUAAGAAACUUGUAAUUAGAAAAGGAUUCGGAUUACCGUGGUCUCAAGCUAUAUAUAUAUUCACAUAUAAAUGAAUGUUCAUUUAGAGGGGUUUUAUGUUUGCAGUCUGAUCUAUGGCGAGCGACGGAGAAAUUCAGACGGUGACCGGUGGCAGCGCAGAAAUUAUCCCCAAUUCGGUGAGGGUAUUUUUAUGGAAUGAGAAGCUGACAAGGAAUCAGGUAUCUGAAUCCGAAGGCUUAUGCGUUUUUCUAAUUCGGACUCAAUUCAUAAAUACGUUUAAUCCUUGUGAAUACGGCGAUUGUUAUUGCAAUGUAUUGUGGGAUGAUUGUUGUUCUACGGUCAUCCCUUUUGAUGUAUCAAAGCUGCUGAACAAGGAUCCGUCAUUAGGUUUGAAAAGGACUGGGAUGAGGAAGAGGAGCUUCGUAGCAGCGCACACAGUGUGAGUCCUACUGAUUACCAGAACGAUCCAUAUCAUGACUACUCUGGUGAUGUUCUAGAGUAUAUCUUUGCGUUAAGGGAAUAUACUGGCGAAGGUGGAAUUUGCCCAACCAAGCCACCCAUUGCGGCAGAUGUACCAAGAGGAUUUGUGGAAGUUAAACCCUCUCUUACGCCUAUAUUCCACCAACUCAGUGGCAACAACAGCAGUAGCAGCAGAGAUCUAAUGUACGACGACAAUUGCCCUGUUUGCUAUGAAGAUUUUAAAGAUAAGAAUGAAGCAUUAACGACUUAUUGUUUGCACGAUUUUCAUAUUGAGUGUCUCCUGUCUUGGCUAUCGAUGAAUAACACAUGCCCAACUUGUCGAGCAGUCUAUCCUUUGCAUUAUUCCGCCUUCUUGAACCGGAAACGUCACCGUGAGCACAAUAUAUUUGUAGGAAAGCAGAGAAUUUAGGAAGUUUUCUUUUCUAUUGAUUUCUGUAUAUGCAAAUCAGUACAUGGUAUUGUAUAUAUACGAAAGAGAGAGCAAAAAAAGAAUAUUCUUCCUAACCAACUUGUCACAGCUGUCCUAUACAUGAUUGACUGUGUGAUAACUAAAUUUGUACUGUGUAUAGAAUAAUUAGAGAAAAGGAAACAUUUAUCUACAAAUACGUGUGUGUAUACUAGAAGUUUCUAAUGUAACAUUUUGUUG